UACGGGGGGGGCAAGCGUUGUUCGGAAUUACUGGGCGUAAAGGGCUCGUAGGCGGCCAACUAAGUCAGACGUGAAAUCCCUCGGCUUAACCGGGGAACUGCGUCUGAUACUGGAUGGCUUGAGUUUGGGAGAGGGAUGCGGAAUUCCAGGUGUAGCGGUGAAAUGCGUAGAGAUCCGGAGGAACACCAGAGGCGAAGGCGGCAACCUGGCUCGUAACUGACGCUCAUACACGACAGGCAUGGGGAGCGGAACGGG
rnacentral:rRNA from 1 species